UCCUGAUGAGCAUAGAUGACAAAAGUCCUCAACAAAAUCUCAGCAAACCAAAUUCACAAGUACUUUAAAGUGAUCACACACCAUGAUCAAAUGGGAUUUAUACCUGGGAUG